rnacentral:rRNA from 1 species
GAUGAACGCUGGCGGCGUGCUUAACACAUGCAAGUCGAACGAAGCAUUUACGACAGAUUUCUUCGGAUUGAAGUUGUUUAUGACUGAGUGGCGGACGGGUGAGUAACGCGUGGGUAACCUGCCUUGUACUGGGGGAUAGCAGCUGGAAACGGCUGGUAAUACCGCAUAAGCGCACGGUGCUGCAUGGCACAGGGUGAAAAACUCCGGUGGUAUAAGAUGGACCCGCGUCUGAUUAGCUAGUUGGUGAGAUAACAGCCCACCAAGGCGACGAUCAGUAGCCGACCUGAGAGGGUGACCGGCCACAUUGGGACUGAGACACGGCCCAGACUCCUACGGGAGGCAGCAGUGGGGAAUAUUGCACAAUGGAGGAAACUCUGAUGCAGCGACGCCGCGUGAGUGGAGAAGUAAUUCGUUAUGUAAAGCUCUAUCAGCAGGGAAGAUAGUGACGGUACCUGACUAAGAAGCUCCGGCUAAAUACGUGCCAGCAGCCGCAGUAA